rnacentral:rRNA from 1 species
UACGAAGGGGCUAGCGUUGCUCGGAAUUACUGGGCGUAAAGGGAGCGUAGGCGGACAUUUAAGUCAGGGGUGAAAUCCCGGGGCUCAACCUCGGAAUUGCCUUUGAUACUGGGUGUCUUGAGUGUGAGAGAGGUGUGUGGAACUCCGAGUGUAGAGGUGAAAUUCGUAGAUAUUCGGAAGAACACCAGUGGCGAAGGCGACACACUGGCUCAUUACUGACGCUGAGGCUCGAAAGCGUGGGGAGCAAACAGGAUUAGAUAACCCCGUAGUCCCUGA